rnacentral:rRNA from 1 species
GGCCUACCAUGGUGGUAACGGGUAACGGGGUGUUAGGGCACGACACCGGAGAGGGAGCCUGAGAAACGGCUACCACAUCCAAGGAAGGCAGCAGGCGCGCAAAUUACCCAAUCCCGACACGGGGAGGUAGUGACAAUAAAUAACAAUACAGGGUUCUUUGAAUCUUGUAAUUGGAAUGAGUACAAUUUAAAUCUCUUAACGAGGAACAAUUGGAGGGCAAGUCUGGUGCCAGCAGCCGCGGUAAUUCCAGCUCCAAUAGCGUAUAUUAAAGUUGUUGCAGUUAAAAAGCUCGUAGUUGAAUUUCGGGAUCAAUACGUCGGUCGUGCUUUCGGGUACGUACUGGCGUCACUGGUUUCUCCUUUCUGACGAACCAUGAUGUCAUUAAUUUGGUGUUAUGGGGAGUUAGGACUGUUACUUUGAAAAAAUUAGAGUGUUUAAAGCAGGCAUUAGCUUGAAUACAUUAGCAUGGAAUAAUGAAAUAGGUCGUUCGAUCCUAUUUUGUUGGUUUCUAGGAUCAACGUAAUGAUUAAUAGGGAUAGUUGGGGGCAUUAGUAUUCAAUUGUCAGAGGUGAAAUUCUCGGAUUUAUUGAAGACUAACUACUGCGAAAGCAUUUGCCAAGGAUGUUUUCAUUAAUCAAGAACGAAAGUUAGGGGAUCGAAGACGAUCAGAUACCGUCGUAGUCUUAACCAUAAACUAUGCCGACUAGGGAUCGGAUGAUGUUAAUUUUUUAAUGACUCAUUCGGCGCCUUACG